rnacentral:rRNA from 1 species
AACGAACGCUGGUGGCGUGUCUUAUACAUGCAAGUCGAGCGGGGCAGCAAUGCCCAGCGGCGAACGGGUGAGUAACGCGUAAGCAAUCUGCCCCAUAUCAGGAAAUACCCGUGCCAACGCGCGGUUAAUGUCCAGGAGCGUGGCCUUCCGCAUGGGAGGUUGACAAGAGAUUUAUCGGUAUGGGAUGAGCUUGCGUCCGAUUAGCUAGUUGGCGGGGCAACGGCCCACCAAGGCGACGAUCGGUAGCCGGCCUGAGAGGGUGAUCGGCCACAUUGGGACUGAGAUACGGCCCAGACUCCUACGGGAGGCAGCAGUAGGGAAUAUUGCACAAUGGAGGAAACUCUGAUGCAGCGACGCCGCGUGAGUGAAGAAGUAUUUCGGUAUGUAAAGCUCUAUCAGCAGGGAAGAAAAUGACGGUACCUGACUAAGAAGCCCGGCUAACUACGUG